rnacentral:rRNA from 1 species
CGAAGGGUGCAAGCGUUACUCGGAAUUACUGGGCGUAAAGCGUGCGUAGGUGGUUCGUUAAGUCAGUGGUGAAAGCCCAUCGCUCAACGGUGGAACGGCCAUUGAUACUGCUAAACUUGAAUUAGUUGGGAAGUAACUAGAAUAUGUAGUGUAGCGGUGAAAUGCUUAGAGAUUACAUGGAAUACCAAUUGCGAAGGCAGGUUACUACCAAUAUAUUGACGCUGAUGGACGAAAGCGUGGGGAGCGAACAGGAUUAGAUACCCUGGUAGUCCACGCCGUAAACGAUGGAUACUAGCUGUUCGGAGCAAUCUGAGUGGCUAAGCGAAAGUGAUAAGUAUCCCACCUGGGGAGUACGUUCGCAAGAAUG